rnacentral:piRNA from 1 species
UCUUAGGACAGGCAGUUUAUGUGUUCUCCAGA